UACGUAGGGUCCGAGUGUUGUCCGGAAUUACUGGGCGUAAAGAGCUCGUAGGUGGUUUGUCGCGUUGUUCGUGAAAACUCACAGCUUAACUGUGGGCGUGCGGGCGAUACGGGCAGACUUGAGUACUGCAGGGGAGACUGGAAUUCCUGGUGUAGCGGUGGAAUGCGCAGAUAUCAGGAAGAACACCCGUGGCGAAAGCGGCUCUCUGGAACGGUACUGACGCUGAGACGCGAAAGCGUGGGGAGCGAACAGG
rnacentral:rRNA from 1 species